rnacentral:rRNA from 1 species
AGUGGCGAACGGGUGAGUAACGCGUGAGGAACCUGCCUCAAAGAGGGGGACAACAGUUGGAAACGACUGCUAAUACCGCAUAAGCCCACGGGUCGGCAUCGACCAGAGGGAAAAGGAGCAAUCCGCUUUGAGAUGGCCUCGCGUCCGAUUAGCUAGUUGGUGAGGUAAUGGCCCACCAAGGCAACGAUCGGUAGCCGGACUGAGAGGUUGAACGGCCACAUUGGGACUGAGACACGGCCCAGACUCCUACGGGAGGCAGCAGUGGGGAAUAUUGCACAAUGGGGGAAACCCUGAUGCAGCGACGCCGCGUGGAGGAAGAAGGUCUUCGGAUUGUAAACUCCUGUUGUUGGGGAAGAUAAUGACGGUACCCAACAAGGAAGUGACGGCUAACUACGUGCCAGCAGCCGCGGUAAAACGUAGGUCACAAGCGUUGUCCGGAAUUACUGGGUGUAAAGGGAGCGCAGGCGGGAAGACAAGUUGGAAGUGAAAUCUAUGGGCUCAACCCAUAAACUGCUUUCAAAACUGUUUUUCUUGAGUAGUGCAGAGGUAGGCGGAAUUCCCGGUGUAGCGGUGGAAUGCGUAGAUAUUGGGAGGAA